AACCUUUUUCUUUUUAAACAGUACUUUGUCUCCAAAACUCUGUGGUCGUCAUGGAAUGUCCCUUUCCUGUCUACUAAAUGGGCCAAAGAUGAAGAUCUAGAAGAGAUAAAAGAAUAUGCAUAUUGCUGUACACGUCCAUAUUCUGGGAAAGAAAUACAGACGUAAUUAAUGAGCAUCAGCGAGUUUACCGCACUACUACAUGGAGAAAAGGGAUCUCUUCUAUGGGCAAACAAAGUAGUCAGAAUAGGAGCUUGUGCUACAGUGCUUUUCUGGCUUUUUUGGAGGAAGAAAAAUUUAAUAUUAUCUGUACAACAUUGUUUAUUCCUUUCACACAACCUGAUUGCAUCUCUGUCGGGCCAAGCUUUAGGCACCAUUUGUACUAUUUUACAUUUAAUUAAUCCUAAUAUGAAAGCCAAUAUUCUCACUUUUACAAAGUGCUGAAGGGGACGAAUCUCUCAGUUCUCCCAUAAAUGGAACAAAUCCUAAGCAGUAACAUGUUCAGAGAUUCAUUUUUAAGGCACGUUAUGAAUGGCAUGUUUGGAAAUUUAAUUGGAUUAAUUUUAGUGAUGCACAAAGCAGAUAACCAAUUCUAGCAUUUUCUCAAAAAAAGAAAAAAAAAUGGAUUCUAACCUCUAUUUAAUUUAUCACUUUAAUUCUUAAAUGUAAAGUAUUCUAUCUGCCGAUUAAUAAACUACUACAGAAAACUUUAGUUCCUUAUUAAUAUUUUAUAUCCUGUAAGGUUUUUGUCCCCUGUGAAUUUAUAUUUAUAGAAGUUUAAAUCAUAAUGCAGUACAGAAAAGAUACCCCUAAUUAAUAUUUUUUUUUACAAAUUAUUUAUCAUUAAAGAUCUGAGUUCAUCAUAAUCAUUGUCUUAUUCCCACAGGUUGGAUUGGACUAGGGAUGAAACCUAAAGGUGGCUAUACAAGGGCCAAUAAAAGCUACCAACAGACUACAUCAGACUGUGUAUGGGGCCCUACCCAACCAAUAUGUAAAUCUAU